AGAUUACACCCAUGCAAUAGUACUGAUUGCUCCAGAAUUUAGCUCGGAGAUCAUUUUUUCAAAGCACGCUUCUUGAAGCCAAACCUAGCUGCCUCUGGUAUAUUUAGUGGACUGAAGGGUAUGUAAUGACGUCUCAGAGGAGACUGAAAUACACGUAUAAAGACCCCCACACCUGAGUCACAUGAUUGUUAAAUGUCCAGAAAAACCCUUCGGGUUCACUGAACUCCCUAGAAAACUGUUGAGUUCGUGGGUCCACAUGCUUUGUGGAAUAAGCCUAUUGCAAACUUAUUCCUUUCUUCACUCACAUCCCGAGUUGAUUUAGACUCCGUGUUUCCUGUGCAUCCCAGACUCCGCCUGGGCUCCAAGAGUCACAUUUUUUCAGAAACAGACUUUCUAAGUCGGGAAGAGUAAACUCUUCGCCCGAUUUUAGGGCAGGAGGAGGGAGCAGCGAUGUUGUUGUCAUUAGUGGCUAUCAUUUUGCAUGCUACCUUCCACUUGAAUCCAGUCACCUCUUCGCUAUUUGCGAGGCGCCUGAAGCGUUACCUUCGGGCCGGGUUUGUUUACAAAAUAGCAUUGGCAGGCAGGAGCCCGGCCCCCCGGCGGGCUUUCCGCUCGCUGGAGCGAGCAAGCCGCCGAGGCUUGGCCCUCCGUUGCGUGUGUCUGUGUAGAUCUGGCAGAGCCCGGCUCCCGGAUCUUUGUGUUGGUGGCGGCCAAGGAGAGCAAGGAGCGCUGUGCUCCCGCUUCUCUCUGACUCUACCCCACCCCCCUCCCGACCGAAAUCCCCUGGUCCAACUUUCAAGCUUUUGCGUUUCCUUUCAGUUUUUCACUUCUCAGCCCUCCUGGCAGCGUUUGCCGAGCGCUAGACCCCAGCCCGGAUUUGCAUCUCUCUUGAUAUUCUGUACCUUGGACUCAUGCCAAAUUGUGUGGUGGUCCUGUUAUUUACACAAAUGUUUUCUAGAAGACGAGCAUUCCUCACCACAAAGGUCAGAUUUUACUUUACACUACUGUUAGAAUAAUGCCUCUAUAAUGACAACAAAGUUACUUAAGAUGAAGGUUUAGAUGUUGGAACCCUUAUUCACACUGAUGUGCAUGAGAAAAUGCACAUUAGCAUGAGAAAAGUUUGCACAAUUUAGUCCUGGAUACUCUGUUGUAACUAAUAGCAAAAUUUGGUCCAAGAUCUCCAAAAGGAAAGGGCUAGUGUAAAUAAUUAUUUAAAGCACCUUUUUCUUCCCUUGAUUAAGUGUUAAUUUAGAAGGGUUUCACUAUAUUUCAGCAUACAUAACCCUGCAGUUCUGUAUGAUUAGGUUCAUGAAACUGGUAUGUGCUCUUUUUUACAGGUUGUUUAUGUACACACAUAUACGCACACGCACACACACAAGUUUAAAAAUCUUCUAUUUGAAUAAUAGAAAGACUCAUUUAAUUUGCAGCUUUGACUGUAUUCAGUCUUUAUAUACACAGUUAGACUGAAAAAUCUAUGUCUUAGUUUCUAAGUUGGCAUGAUUCCCAGAUUGCAAUGUGGUAAAACUUUCGGCAUAUUAAACAAAUGACAAGAAUUUCAUGCAAGAGCAGCUUCUAUAGAGUAUCCAUGUACUCUAUAUCUUUCUUUUCUUCACCAUUCAUGUAUUCAGAUUUUGGUUUAUUUUGCCAUGUAAAUGUCAACAAGUUUGAUUAAGUGUAAACAAGGAUUUAGAAUUUAUCUUUCAGAGGCAUCUCACAGCAGAAGGGACAUUCAAUAAAAAAGAAGGCGCUGCAGUAUUAAACAGAUUUUUUCCUCGAAAGCAGAAUUUCUAGAAUUCUGUGGCAUUUUGAGACCAACUAUCUGAGCAGGGAAUGAUAAUUCUAUGGCUGUAUCCUACAAAAUAUAACCUUGUCUGCAGGAUUCUAGUUUCACAGCUAUGAAACCAUUCUACAACCUUGGAUUCAUGAAAUAGUAAAUCUUGCCAUUGCUUAUGAAGAAGAAUGGCAAAAAUGGACUAACUCAAGCUGUAUCUAAAUUUGUAUAUAAUGUAUAAAGUAAAUGUACAUUACUCAAGUGAAGCAUGCAAGCAUGAAAUGCGUUGGUAAGUUUGGAAUUCUGGACAUAAAGUGCUCACACAUCUAUGCACGGGUAUCUACGUAGGUUGAAAGAAUCAUAGACACCAAGACGUCCGGUCAGAAUACAAACACAUACAAAAUGAAAGCAAUAGCAGAAGGUAAAAUGCGACAGAAGCUGAGGUCAGGAGCAACACACAGCACAUUGGACUGGCCCUGCAUGACAUUCUGCCCUGUUAUGGCAGACUACACAACAUAAUAUCUAUUGAACUAUGUGCACCUGGUGUUGCAUGUGGGAACACACUAUUGUUUUCUGUACUGCGCUUGCCUUUGUCCAUAUACUUGGGAUUUAUUUAGCCCAUUACAUUAGUAUGCAUAAAAAAUGUUGCAUAAAGGUUUGACUAAAGUGCUGAAAUGAUUAAAAAAGGUUCUAUACAAAAGAGAUCUGGCACGUUAUAACUAAACAGGGCUGUUUAGCAACCUGGGAGCUGUUAAGCUGGAUUCCUCCAUGAACAUCAGGAGUGACAUCAGGCACUAACUGAUGCAAAACAAACAAACAAAAAAGCUGACAUACUGCUAUUGGCAAACCAGGGAAAGUCUCUUUUUAAACAACCACAUUUAAUGACCUUUUGUAUCCACUGCUGUUUCCUCUGGCAACUCUGUUUUUUAAAACAUGUUAGAAAUGUUUGUUAUAUUUUUAACAUUUAAAAAAGGGUCUCACAAUAGAGUGGUUCUCCUUGUGUUUCUGCUAAAGUGCCAUGAAGACUAUUUUUGACAGGUGACUAAGAAGAAACAAAAAUUGAUUAAUAAAUGGCUUUCAAAUGAUAUUAUUAAAAAUACAGCAGCAGCAGCUAAAAUAUUUCCAAUAAUAUUCUCCUUUGGCCUGGUUCCCAUUGUAUUUGCUGCUGUUUAUUGCACAUCACUGUGAUUUAGCAGAACAUGAUGCUGACAUAAAAUAUUGAUCUGCAAGUUCAGAAGAGGGGGAAUGUUUUUAAACAAAGCUGAAUGAAUUCUACAAGAACAACUGGACCAGAUCCUCGGAUGGUGGAAAUUGUCUUCAGUGAAGCAAAGCCAAUUUAUACCAACUAGCAUUCAUAAACUUUAAUUCAAAUUCUAAAUGCUGUGGAGUUUGACUGUGUUCUUGCCUUUUUUGAUUUACGUGUGAACAAUCCCCUUGGGGCUUUUGCCUACAUGUAUAUUUGGGGAACUAAUAUGUUUCAGGUAAAUGCCCAAAUUCACAUAAGACCAAGGUAUUUUUGCCUAAACAUUGUUGAAAAAUUGGCCACUCACUAUUUGCCAUUCAUUAUUCAUUUAAAACAUUUCAUUCAUCUAAUCUGGUAGUAGAAACAAUACCGUGACUUUAAAUGUAAUAAUACAUGGUGAACCAGCCAAGUGAAAAGUUUGUGUUUGUGAAUAGUCCCAUUGCUUGAAAUGUAAAAGCUGGUGAGUGAAUUCUAUAAACUGCUCAUUGAAUACAGUAUAGAAAAGGUUAGUAAAAAUCUUUGUGUCUGUAAAUGUUUUGAAAAUCAGAAGGAAGGGUUACAUUCAGCUGAUGAAUUGUUUACAAUAAAUCAUGUAACCAGAUCUAGUCUAGGAGUACUAUCUUCAUUUUGAAUGAACCCAGAGCAGGUUGAUUAUGUGUGUUUGCCCAUCUUCUGCUGUCCUCUAAGGAUUCUGUGGUUAGCUAGCCUUUUGUUGGUUGCAGAACUAACAAACCCAUAACUGAUCUAUGUGGUAAUGAAAAGGUCCAACCAAUUUAUGAGUGGGCACAAUGCCAUCCAAACAGAUGGGUGUGAGUGCCAGCAGCCAAAAUACCAUGUAAGAUUGUCAAAUGCAGAUAUUGAGGCUGGGCAUAUUUCACAGCCAGGAGCAUUGAAUGUUGAGCCUGUGUAAUUAACAGAAUGUGACAUCAUUAAACCAGCUCUGGGCUGGAUUGAUUUUGAAAAAUAAAAUAAAUACUUUGUUAUGGAAGGGAGAACCUAAAAAGGUAUUAACUUUCAAUAGUCAGGAUAAGGCAGAUGGAAGCCAAAGAUUCCAAAUCAGAGACCACAGGUUUACUUUUCACGAAGUUCAUGGCCCUAUGCCAGAUUUAGGUAUUCCAGGACCUGUGUAUAAUGAAUAGCAUUCUAAAGGGAGUGAAAGAUGAGGUGUCAACUCAUCUGAAUUCACCAUACUCUGCUUUUGCCUUUCCAGUAGACAUUAGAGCUGUAUAUCUUUCUUCCUUAACCAAAAUUUGCCAGAGUAAGAGUAAAUAGGAUAUUCUCAGAACAAAGCUUUUGUUGAUUAAACAACAGUCAUUUGAUCCUAAAACCCCCCCAAUAUAUUUUCAUAUUAUAUUUAAAUUCUAUGAAUUUUACAACAGCAAUUAUGAAUUACAAUCAUCCACCAAUACAAAAAUCCAUUAUUUGCUCAGGUCUACUGCCACCUUCCCCUGAAGAUUUGCCAUGAGUGAAUAGGUUUAAACAUUGCUUAUGUUUAAGAGGAAGCUGCAUGAAGUAUGUAUUGAGUUAGAUGUCCCCUUGUUGUAUUGUCCAGGCUCCUCACUGGCCUGAGGAACUUCCUGUGAUGGACAGGGAGCUGCUUAGCAAUAAUUAAUGAAUAUUGCAUGUUGACUGGUUUAUUGGAAUGUUUACUGUACUAAUUUAUUGGUUUAGUUUAAAAGAGGUCUGUUAGGACAAAAAGUAGUAAGGAAAAAAUGGCUCUAGAUAAACAGCCUCCUGGCAAACACUUGAGAAGAGCCAUUGACUCUGAGGAUUUUGGUUUGAUGUCCUGCCGUCCCCUGCAUUGGGCCACAAGGGCCAAAGCCCAGGAACUGAGAAGAACAGGGACUCUAGUUCUGUUAAAAACUCCCUUUCCAGAGAGAAGGCAUUUGUUGUGCAGGAAAAGUGAGUGAGACAGGAAUCCAAUGAGGUGUGUGAAGAAGUUAAGCCUGUACAGGUCACCAUGGUAAGGCUUUAGAUGAGGUAGACAAGCAUUACCUGAAGUCUACCCAUCUUAGGAGGCUUCUCUACCCCAUUGCAUUUGGAAUGGUGGGGUGCAGAGUUCCCUCUAAACUGGGCAGCAGAUCAGCUUCACAGGCGAUUAAUCAGCCCCACCUAGUCAGAGGCUCAGAGCUCUGAGCAGUGAGCUGACUGACUGGGGGGGGAGGAGGGGAAAGGGAGGGGGCUGAUUAAUCACCUGUGAAGCUGUGCUGUGGAGAGGAAACACUGGUGGGAAGUGUUUAAAUUGAGUGCCACAGGCUGUGACUAAGAGUGCUGCACACCAUCACCACCUAUUGGCCACUAAAGCAGAAUGCAGCCAACCCAGCUUCUGUCCCAGCCAGCUCCAGUGCUCAUGCUGCUGAUGGUCUGCCUAUUCUACUCUUCAUUUCUGCACUUCCAGUACAGAUCACCAAGUGGGUGUGGCCCUUAGGCUAAACAUGGAGGCUGUAUUUACCCUUUGUGCUAAUUAUUGUGCAUUCCUCAGGAUCACCAGCCCAAACAUUGUGAUUCAGGUCCAGACCCCACCAAAGCAUGAAAUUGGCUAAAAAAGAUAAUGAGAUUAAAACAAAAAUAAUGAACUUGAGUUGGUUGGUUGGUUGGUUAUUUUUAGCCUUUGGAGUUCUGAGCCUUUAAGUUUCACGUUUUCAAGACUUUUUCAAAACCAUACAGGCUUAGAAACUUAAUUAAAAAAAGCAAGCAAGCAAGCAACCUAAGAUUCCUAAUAUAAUCACUUGUCUCCAUGAGCUGGGGCUCCAAGGAAAAAUAUGAACUUGUGAUACUCACAAUGAAAUCACAAGAGCUUGCAAAAGUGGUUCUUUAGUCUUGUGCUAGGGAGCCAGGGAUGUAUGUGUGUGUCCAGCUUCCUAUGUAAAGAAAACUAUUUGUGUUCACUGUAUUGAAUAGACACUACAAAAACCAACAAGAAAGCCCAUCCCACCAGCCUGGGAUAAGUUGCUGAAGAAUGCUGGGUAAAGGUAGUAAGUCAACUUGGGAUCUAUGUUGACCAUUUAAAAAACAAAACAUAGUAUUCAACUGAUUGUUAAAACGUUUCUUUUUAUAAAUAUGGCAUCUUUUAAUAACAUUUAACACUACUGGAUGAAAGCAUAACAACAUACCCAUAGCCUGUAUUAAUAAACUGCAAAUAAUGACAAUAAGGAUUUGUUGCCUAAAACUAAUCCAAUGAAUAUUUAGUAUUAUCAUAUAUUAUUAGUUAUAACCACACAGGGCCCUGUUCCUCCCACAUUAGUUUAUUUUUAAUGGAGGUUGGGGGGGAAUAUGAAAGUUAAUCAAAACUAUUUAAAAAAAAAACAGUAAAGAUGAUUUUACACUUUACAAUAUCGUCACUCCCCACAACAGCUAAAGACACUGCCUUUGGCAUUUUAAUUCACAACCCUCUCUGUAAGGGCUAAUAUUUUGAUAAUAUCACUUUACCCAGGUAUAUUUUGAUACUUUAUCUAUAAGGCCUGCCGAUCCUGCCACUGUUUCUCAUCCUGUUUAUUACCUUAUUUCUGGAAUAGUCUAAUUGUUUUCAGCAGACCUUAAACACAUGUAUGUGUAAUGGAUAUAUUCAUAUUUGUUUGCUAGGAUGUCUAGUAUUUUAAGUAGAGAGUGUGGAUAAUGCCAGUUUUUCUGGAUAAUCUUCAGGCAAUAUCAAAACCACUGCAAACAAUUUGUUUCAAUAGUGUGAGUUUACUAACACUCAGACCAAAUUAAUUUCUGUUAUGUAACUGCUUUCCCACAGAAAUCAGUGUUUGGGGGCUGGGUGGGGAGGGCCUCCGU